rnacentral:tmRNA from 1 species
GGGGCCGAUCGGUUUCGACCGGACAGGGAAGGCUUGACGUGGCGCGUCGAGGGGCGUGCUGGCCUCGUAAAAAGCACGCACCAACAAUAACUGCCAACAACAGCGGUUAUGCUCUCGCGGCCUAAUUAGGCUCGCGCAGACCCCACCCCACGCCCGAUAGGGCGGGGUCUGAAUGACAUCGGGCUGGCUCCAAAGCGGCGUCUCGGCGCGGCGGAGUAAGACUGCACCGAGACUUGGCAAAAGGAAAGGGUGUCGCUGCCCGCUCCCAAGCCGAAAUCAAACCAGCGAAUACACGCGUAGAAGCGUCCUGCUGACUGUCACGGCACGGGGGUUCGAUUCCCCCCGGCUCCAUUU